rnacentral:lncRNA from 1 species
UUUUUUUUUUUGGGUCGUUUGCUAAAAUAUAGCAGGUGAUGCAGCUACAAGAUAGGCAGGAAUUUAGGCACUUUGCAGCUAUAAAAUAGGGAACAAGAUGCGGCUCAAAGUUAGCCUAUCAGUUUUGGAAGUCUUUGGCUUUUAGAAAUCUUUCGGGUUUUGGAGACUAGGAAGCUGCCUUUUCUUUUCCUUGCUUGGUGUUACCCGAUUCCCCUUACUUGGUUGCGGAACAAGAUGGGCAGUUUAUUUUGUUCCUUUCAAGAUCAAAUUGGUUGCUGCAACAAUUUUUUUUUUUUGUUUAUACAGCCAAAAGAUGAACUAUGGGUUCGGCUCAAACACACAAAUUUCCAGGUUUGGUUGCAGCUUUGGUGCGGCCUGUUUUGGUGAUUUUAAUGUUUGGGCAGGUUGUGAUUCUUGGUUCCCAACAAUUAGAGCUCAAAGUUCAGGUAUGUUUCAAUGUCACGCACAAGAAAAUUUCAAGAAUUCAAGAUCAAACCACAAUUUCCAGCAAAUAACUUCAAGAAUAUCAAGGCUAAUUUCCAGAUUUCAAGAAUAUCCAGAAUCCCUUCAAGAUCUUCGUGAAACCAGCAAAUUUGACGCAAGAAAUUCAAGAACAAGGUACCAAUACUUUCCUAGAUGAUAAGCAACUAAAGAAAAAUGACAUGAAUAGAUUUGGAAACAAAAAAAAACUCAACAAGAAAGAACGAACAGAUUUGGAAACUACCAAAACUCAACAAGAAGGAAUGAACAGAUUUCUUCUUCUCCUCUUUUUGUUUUUUUUUUCUUUAAACCCAAAUGAUGUAACUACCAAACAAAUAGCCUAAGAAUAACACAAAUAAUUCCCAGAAUUUCCAAAAAUUAAAAUGGCACAAGAAAGACACCAAAACACUGACGAGCAGAAUUUUUUUUUACAAAGAAUAAGACUAGCGGCUGGUUCUAUAUGUAUAUAUAUAUACUUGUUUUCUGAGUAGGGCCCAAUCACAGCAAUGGACAGCGAGUCUGAGCAACAAUAGACAACAACAGGCACAAAACGUGGUGAUACAACCUGAAAACUAACGCAAGACACGAUGUACACCAACUGGAAAUUACGGACAACAAUAGGGAGACAAGGAAAAAGGAUUAGCUACUGACCCUUUCUUUUUUUUUUGACUCAGGUUGGGACUUACUGCCGACAAUAACAAGAUGUUGAACGAGGGACAGGCACAACAAUUAAGAGACAAUUCGGUCAAAUUGGGCCAUGCAAGGGAUAAUGUUAAGUGCGGCAAGACCAAAAUUUGAAUGACUCAAUGCUUUGUUGUGCGUCUUUGGCACAAUUAUCAACACUGACCGACACCUCAAUUUGCUGGACAUAGAUGGUGGAAACAAUCAGCAAUACAUGACCAGAUUGUAACACACAAGACUCAAUAGAAACAGCAAUAAGGACGCGAUACUAAGAACAGACUCCAAACAUGGCGACCAGAAUUUGAUAACAAGGAAACUUGCGGACAGAUUGGAGGUGCGAACAGAAUUUAACUAACGAGACAGAUACGGAAGGUACGAAUUAAGACACAAAAGAGGGAUAAACGAUGUUACCAACAAGCUAGCUCUGAUGCCAGCUGAUACGAAUCUUGUUGGUGAGAAGAUUCGCGACCCAAGAUCACUUGUUGGAUUUGACUUCGAACGCAAGAAACGGUAGCAGCGGAAACCCUACGACCCCUCUAAUCCCCGUGACUACGAACUUGUUGAUAUUAUCUCAACCCGUAAUCAAACAAAUUAACGAACCUCAAGCAAGUGUAGAAGGCGCCACAAUUCAAGUGUGGUUCUUGAAUUGAUAAGCCAAACAAGAACACUAGAGUAAAACUCUAAGUUGUUCAAGGGUUGCUCAAAAGCUAUGGAGAAAAUUCUCUCAAAUAUUUUAUGAUAAAAGUGUCUAACCCUCAAAUUAUCAAAGCUUGGCUAUUUAUAGCCUUUCAAAGAAGCAAACCUAAUCUAAGUUGGAAACAAUGCAAGUUUCCUUAUUCGAUUUGACAACUAAACUAAUGACUCACUAAUCAUAGUUAGGGCUAACUAAUGGACAGCUUAUAAUCGAUCCAAUGAAGGCUUUAAACUGGCCAUAACCCAAUAAAAGCUAAUUAACCAACUUAAGUAAUAGUGAGCCUAGACUCUAUAAAUCGGAUCCAACUCAACAUGAGGCCUUGGACCAAACUUAUUCCUACCAAAUAAAAUAGAAAUCUGAAAAAAAACUACUAAACUAUUACUAAAAGAUUCAUUCUCUUGCAGCCCGAAACAUGGCCCAUAAGCGGCCCAUAUUUCGUAUCAUUCAGGUUGGUAAUCAUAAAAUUAUGAAUAAUCACUAUAAGUACAUUGAUUAUCCCAACCAUAAGGAGGAGAAUUGCUCCAAUUAGCACUAUAUCGAUCAAAACAAGGAUUGUAAUGCUCUAAUUCAUCAUAAUAAUCUAUAUUUUGUACUUGCAUACAUGUAUUAGUAGCAUGAUAACCUCCACUGUGACGACCCAACUUCUCCCAAGGGCGAACCCAAGGGUAUCGGCGAGCCGCCUGCUUAGCUCACGCCAGGACUCAAAACCUAAAGUAAUAAAACUAGAUAAAUCGAAAGAGCACUAUAUACAAUAUAUACAAUCCCCAAAAGUGUUCUAAUUACAUUCUUCAAAAGUACCUGCUCAUACCAUUACAUCCUUAUAAUUAUAACCAAAACCACAGAGUAGACCCUAAGGAGGGUCCUUAUACAAACCACCACAACAAAAACAAACAUCCUAAUUGUCCAACUAUUACAAGCAAACCUAACUAUACUAGUGUAUGUGCCAAAAGUCCCCGCGUCGGCCCCUGCUAAGGAAAACAAAAGGAAAGGGGUAAGUUAUAUGCUUAGUAAGUAAACAGGGGCAAAAGCGUAAAUUUCACAUAACAACAAUUACACAGUAAGAGUAAAGCAAAAGCAGAAAAGUAACAUCACAUAAUAAGGAUACAGGUGGCUCCAAAGCCAGAUCGUUUGCCAUGCGUGACCUUCUGCCGACACUCCGUCGACCACAAAUAAUGGUCCGUAGAACUUCACUUGUACUCCCACUGUACACCUUAUCAUCCUCUCUGGCCAGACACCUCACAUACUUGCUCGAGCGAACGAAAUUGAGCUUGGUUCACAAGCUCGGGUCACAAACUUGGUCCACAUAAUCGGUGAACCGGAUUCACAAACUUGGUGACCUCAAACCAGGUUGGACUGACUUCGACCAAGCCCUAACCGGCUCGAAUAGUCCAUCUAGGUCAUGAGAUCGGGCUCCAAACUAACAAACUUCACAAAAUUUACUCAAAAGUCACCCCAAGCCACAAGCUCAAGGGGUUUAGUUCCAAAAUGAUUCAUAUACAUAUGCCAUGUACAAAUAUGCACGUAAAUUAGGGUUUAGGUCGAGUGCGAUAAAGUACACCCUCGCCUAGGUACCCUUUUCAUACAUAUCGAAACACAUAAGCAACUAACACAUAAGAGCGGCCUGAAUACUUACCCAAAGAACAAAAGAGCAAAAGUACGAAAUUCGUGCCGCGAGGAGUAGCUAGUAGGCCCCACCGGCUCCACCUAGCUCACCACCGUUUGAAAUAGAAGAUUGCGUCACAUAAUAUCACAAAUGGCUACUAAUAUGCCUAAAACAAGCAAAACGGCAAAAUCGGCAAAUACGAGUGCGGAAACGGCAUACGGAAUCGGAAAUGGUAACCCAAUUGCUUUGCCGUCAAAACAGUUUUGAGCCUAAUUGAAGCUACGAGUGUCGGAUAAAGGUACAUGAGGUACCAUUGUGAAGCUAAGAGGAAGGGUUACAAUUUUCAUGAAGACACCUCAAUCCGGAUCUAAACGGAAAUAGGUCGAAAGUGCAGAAAACCGUUCCAGGAAUUCACACCCUAGAGUAACGGACAGCGUAUGUUUGCUGGACCAUAACACCCAUCUCACAAAUCCAAAUCUAGAAAUUCCAAAGGAAUUAGAAAGCUGAGACAUAAGGUUAAAACUUUUAUGUUUUGGCCAAGACCUGAAUCCACUCAGAACAAAACGAAAAUUGAGUACCAAAGUACCCGUCAGAACUGUCCAGAUUCAAAGGCAGUUCUGACGAUCGAUCUUGUUUUGGUCAUAAUGGGAGCUACGGAUUUCGGAUUUUGACACACUUUAUACCAUUUCGAAGCUAAAACCAAGAUCUACAUUUCUUAUGAAGGGUCAAUACCCAGAUCGUACGUUAUCAAAACAGAAAAAAUCACGGUCAGAAGCUAAUUCAAAACGCAACAGAAUCUGAUGUUCAAAAUAGGCCUGAGUGUUUUGUCUAUAACUCAGGAUACACUAAUCCGUUUUACCUGAAAUUUUCCAGGCAUAUUCAGGACUUAUGAAGCUACAACUUUCAUGUUUUGAGGAACUUCUGAAUCCAUAUGUAACAUCAAGAAAAGUGAAGCCAAAGUUUGGAUGCUGAACUGCCCAAGUUUUCCAGAUUUGCCGGUUUUGCGGGCCGCAACCGUACAGUCCGUUUUUAUGAUUCUUAUACAAGUUUUUCUAACCAAUUUGAUACCAAACAACCAUAGGUAUAUCAGCCUAGGAGUGGUCCGAAAUUCUCUCCUUCUUUUAUCACAAAAUUACCAAAAACUAACCAAAAUCCCUAUCCUCACUUCAUAUGCACUAAUGAAAGUCAAUUAGCCAAACCCUACCUCACUAGUCAUUAGCCAAGCCAAACUAACCUAAUGGAGUCUAGGGUUUCAUAAUCAAAAUCUGAUUUCACCAAAAUCUAACCAUACAAGAACAAUCAACACACCACAAAUUCCAUCUACAAGUCAAUUUCUCAAUCAAAGCAACUAAGGAAAGCAUUAAAGCAAGAAGCCUUAAUUUUUUUCUCUUUUGACCGAAUUUCCAACAGCCACAAAACACUAAAAUUAACCAUGAAACUUCAAUAUAAACAUCAAUUCCACCAUACAAAUCCAUAAUCACAACAAAAUACAUCACUUCCAUAGCUUAAAGAUUAGAAACCCCAAAAUUUUUCUUUCAAAGAAGAUGGCAUACCUUCAAAUGAGUUUGGGGAAUGAUCAAACUUCAACAAUCAAGCUUCUAAGUUGUUCCCUCAAGCUUCAAAGGCAAGAUGAAAGGCUAGAAGAACUUGAAGAAUUUCUUUCCUUUCUUUACUCUCUCAAUCUCAGCUCUCCUCUCUCUCUUUCUCUCCAAGUUUUGUUUUGUUUUGUCUUGUGAUUAUCUUACAAUCCUAAGGUAAUAAAUAGUCAAAGACAAUAGAAGAUAUUUAUUAGGCUAACCAAUCACAUAAAAGUGCUUUAUUUGCUUUGUAACCCUUGCACUUCAACUUAGCUUUUAUUCUACUCUUGCCCUCAAACAUUUGGUAAUGUUUCAAUUAACUCCAUAGGUCAUAACUUAAUCUGGUCUAAAACAUAUAAUCACACUUAAUUACUUUACUAAUCACUCUCUUAUCUUAAUCACCUAUACUUAAACAUACUUUUUCCAUAAUAAAAACAAUUAAACAACAACCUUUAGAACAUUGGCAAAAUUAGGGUUUUUAAACCCAUCUUAAGCUUUCUAAUAAAUUAUAACACUAGAGGUUUGCUAAUCCAGGAUUUGCUAACCAAUUCAAACUUGCUAAACCUUUGUAAACUAAACCGAAUCCUAGAUUUACUUAUUCCAAAACACACACUAGAAUACCGAAUAUAAAUUAUAGCUUGAACUUACGAAUAAUACAUAAACUAGGGUUUUCAAUCUUAACCGAGAUUAGGGUUCUCUCAUUAGCCCUAAAACCCUAAUAUCAACUUACAAACUGACUGGAGCCUCACAUCCACGCAAGUCACAAAUCACAUGAUAAGAAUUAAAGCAUUAACAUUUCUCCCUUACUCAAUUUCAUGCAUAAUUGUGUCCAUUUUAACUUGUAACAUAAUUACAUCAAAUUUUGCCUUUAAGCACUUCAAACCAUCUUUAAAAGACAUCCAUUCAGUAAAUUCUUGGUUACCUCUGUUGAAGGAGCUUUACACUUGAUAACCAUCCAUUGCCAAAUUUUCAUUUCUCAGGCAUUGUCCUCCAAAUUGAUCUAUUCUCCUCAUCACCUAAAAUUGCUUUUAAACAACUUAAGGGCAAGAUUAACAAGAAGAAUAGGUGAUAAAACACAUACACACAUAAAACACUAAAAUUCUAGAAAAUAACAUUCACACUAUAACUAAUAAAAUGUCUAAACUAAUAAAAUUGCUCUUCACGCCAAUAUUGCCAAAUCUUCCCUGGCAACGGCGUCAAAAACUUGAUGGGCGUAGGGUAUACAUAUAACAUUAAACUUAUCCUAAUCAAGUUUUACAUUUAUAAACUUCUAAAUACCCCACACGCGAUUUAUCGUAAGUAUACGAAUCGUGAGCAAGUAUAGGGUAUUAAGAGUCGAUCCCACAAGGAAAAUUGCAAUUACCGACACUAUUAAAGUUUCUCAAUUAUUUAGACUAUCAAUGAAUUAUAACAAGUAAAACUUACUGAACUUAUGCAAGAAAAUAACAAAUGAAACCUCUUUAGAUUGUGGUAUCCCUAACUACUCAUGCAAGUGCUAUAUUUGGAUCAUUGAAUAUUACUAUUUUGGCUAGUUAUGGUGUAAUUUCCUCAUGCAUGUGAAACCUACUUCCGUAGUGAAUCGACUAUACUCAUAACUAAUCCAUACCUAUUCUCAAGGUUAUGAAAUUAGUUACAAGUUCAUUUCUUCAAUGAAAUUACAUGAAAUUAAUCACUGAAACCACAUAGGUGCACCUCUACUCUCGUGAGUGUACUCCGUAUGUUUAGCACCUCUUGAACUAGUGUUAAAUCUCAAUUUUCAUUGCAGAAACAACACCUUAGAUACUCACAAUUAAUAGUAUCAGAUUAAUCAUGAUUUAAAGGGCCAAAGUGCUAAAUAACUUGCUCAAAUAAUAGCAAUCAAAUAACCAAGUAAUAAACACUAACAAUCAUAGAAAGUUCAACCGAACCCAAGGCAUAAAUUUUAAAGACACAUAUUGAACACAAAAUUCAGAACUUGCAUAUUAACUAUACUUAAGAAUCUAAUACAAAAGAUAAAGAGUUGGAGAAGAGAUAACCCAUGUUACUUGAGGUUCAACUCCUCCUUUUUCAUCUCCAUCUUCAUCCUAAUCUAGCUAACAUACAAGAAUGGAUAAACUAUACUAGUCUACACUGAUGCUAACCUAUCACUCAAAAGAUGAAAGAGCUACAUUUUUGCACUCUCCAAGUUCUCCCGUAUGUCUCUCUAUUCUCCCUUCAAUCUUGUAAGUUUUGGUUACAUAAAGAUGAAAGAUGGUCAAGAAAUGAGGCUUACACCUCCCUUUUACAGCUGGUAAUGUUUUUCACAUGUCUAGCAUUACAUGUGACUUAGUGGAGGUGAAAUUGAGUUUUCCGCAUAAAGAGCAGCCUUCUUUGACCACAAUCCGGCCAGAAAUUUGGCCACAAAUCUGGCCAAGUUCUUGCCGGAUUGCUACAGUGACAUUUUGGUGCACUUUUGUUCAAUUUCCAGCUCUGCUCUGAUUUUGCAUCAACUUCAACUGAACUUGUCUUCAUGAUAAAAGUUGAUUUUGUUCUUGACCAAAACAUAAAACUUGUAACCCUUUGAGUUAGCUUUCCAAUGCAUCAAGAAUCAUCUCAUUUGGAUCUGUGUAGGCUGAGAAAUGAUUGAAAUACCCUUGACUUCUCACUGCCCUAUUUCAGUUUCGACCAAUAGAAAUUGACUACUGUAAUUCAGCUUUUUGAACUGGAAACCCUUCAAACUGGAUUCAGAUGUCUUCACCAAAGUUAUAGAUUCAAAUUGGUUUAAGAAUUAUCUCAAUCUAAUCAUUGUAACUCAAGUUAUAGCCAAAAUACGAAAAUAUGUCAAAACUGUCAAAAUGCACAAAAUUCAAGUAAAAAGUGAUAAAAAUCUCAUUUAAUUACUUAAAGUAUUUUUCACCAAUUAUAGUCCAAAUAAUUUAUUUUCUUCCAAUAAUAUACUCAAAGUGACUAAAAAUAAUAUAAAAUGUCAUACAAUUAUUACGUAAAUUAGUCACUUAUCAACAACUCUCGGCCUUGUGUCUUUCCAAAGUUGGCCGAUUUUAAAACUCCUAAAAUAACUAGAAAAACCAUGAUUAAACAACUUAGAAUUGACUCACUAACAAAGACUACCAAUCUGACCAAAAUAUAAAACUUAUAACAAAUGACUAAGCUUACGGGCCCACGUCUUGUCGGAUACAAAUCUUCUGACCAAUAUCUUGAUCAAUCCGAAUUACAUUAACAAUGGAGGAUUAUCCUUGAGUAAGACCUUCAAUCGUCUUGGAACCUUCAAUUGCUUCUUGAAUAGCGCAAACCUAAGUGUUAGGUUGAUUGGCCAACUUAGCUUGUGAGCUAGUAACGUAUCCAAAUUGAAUUGGAUUAUCUUGAACUUGAUGGCAGCUCGCAUGUCCACAUUAGAAUUAUGCCACAAACACUUCCAAAAUACUUCCGGAUCUGUAUCACCAUUUGGCCUACAGAAAAGACAUGUUCAACCGAUUCACUUGUCGCGCCCCACUUUUUGAUUGUGGUGAAAGUAGUGUGUAGGAUAUGUAUGUGAACGUGUGUGAAAGUGAAAAUAAAAGGCCGUGGGAUUGUGAAAUGCGACAGUUUGGCCAAAAAUAUAGUUCAAAAAGGGUUUUUGAAUGGAAAAUGGAGUCGCCACUUGGUAUAGAGUUAGGGUGUACCAAGUCACCCAAAAUGAUUUUUUGUUUUUGAAAGAAAAAAGUAAACAAACCCUUUUAAAGAAUUUUUUAGGUCUACGUAACCAAAAAAAGGGAUCGGGAGUCACAUUUGAUAAGGGAGAAGGCAAAGGCAAAGCCUAAGGCACUCCCUUACCCUAGCCAAAGCUAGUUGCGUGACUUAGCCCCACUUUUCCUAAUUCUUCUACCCAAAAUAUGCGUUGAAUGUUGGAUGUGACUAAUGGACAUGAAAACAAAUGCAAUCCUAAAUCUAAAAUGUUUCUUAUGAGGCUUUUUGGUCCCAACCACAUGAAUUGUGAUGGCCAGUAAGGAAAGCCCUCAUAGGAGUCAUGCAUAAUGCAAAUGAAGACUCAAGUAUGAGUGUAAGUGUGCAAAUGUAAGAAGAGUGCAUGUAUGCAAAUGUAAGAAAAUCAAGGCAUGUGUGUGCCAAUUGAGAAAAUAAAGGUGUUUGUGUGCAAGUGGAUGAAAAUAUGGUAGUAAAUAUAUAAGUGCAAUUGAGUGCAAUUCAUGAGGUAGAAAAUAAAUAAAAGAAAAAGAAUGUGUAAACAUGGCAUGUGGAUUGCGAAAAAUAUAAGUAGUGAGAAAAUGUGGAUAAAAAAGUGAGGAGGUGAUAUGAUAGAAAUGAAAGUGUAUGAAUCUAGAGGAAUGCAUCAAGUUGGGUACGGGAAUGACUCCUAACUUCACGACUUUAAUUUUCCCUUUGAUUAGAAGGAAAGACUAGCGUGCUAAGGCUAUUUUGUAGCCACACUCGCUCGUUUCCCUUACCGAAAGGGGACCCACAAGCAAAUGUACCCUAUAACUAACAUGAGGAUGCAAAAACCUAAAAUGAAGGGCAAAGGAUUGGAGGAGUAUGCCAAAUGCUAGAAAACUAAGAAAAAUGUAUGAAAUGUAGUGAAACAUGCAAGUAUGCACUAACGAGAGGGGACGGCCUAUUGGGUCUAGCAUUGGACUAGCCCUUUUUAAGAAUUCCUACUGGCAUUGGACUAGUGGAAAGCGGGACAAUGAGCCACAACUAGCAUUGGACUAGUGUGGUGACAUGCAUUCAUCCAUCAUAUUCAUCUACGACUAUAGAAAGCAAGUAGACAUGCCAAUCGCCUAUAAACACGUAGCACAUAACACUUAGCAUGCUCGACUAAAUGCAAGAGCCUAAUAAAGCAAAUUAACACAUAGCAACAAAAGCAAGCAACCAAGCUAAUGAACCUAUUACAUUUGCUAGCUAGGCACACGUCUUCAGUAGGUUUUCGUCCAAUGCUCCCCAAGCCCUAUCUAUUACAAGCCAAGAGGUAUACACAUACCUCAUAAAAGAAUAACUUAAUAAAAGCAAAAGUAAAUGAAAUAAAUGAAAGGGAUCAAGGAAAGGCAAGGAAAGCAAAGUAGACAUGCAAUUCUCAUUUAGCACGUUGGAUCACAUAGGGGAGAGACAAAAAGAUAAAAGAAGUUAUACCUCCCUUGAGUUGAUGCCCUAAAUGGAGUGAAAUCACUUAUUUAUCCUCCAAAAUAAAAGAAAAUGUCAAGGUACCAAUUUAAUUGAGAAAAAUUAAAAGAAGUGCGCAAAUACGAAGCUCACUUGAUCGUAAAACCCCUAAAGUCAUGACUUAAGUACAAUUGAAACAAAGCAUAGUAGUCAAUUGAAACAAACAAGCAAUGAAGUUGUAGAAUUAAAAUUGCCAAUGACCAAAUUGAGGAAAUUAUUCAAUUGAUUGGGUCAUAGCAGCAUUAUGAAUAAUUUAGAGGGACUGAAGUGCAAUAUGCAGAAAUAGAUUCAUGCAUGCAACGAAGGCUGAAACCUUCUUCACUUCUACGAAUUUCUGCUGCAAGUUCUUGCAGCUUCAAACCAUGCGUGUUUCACACCAGAAAAUGCACAAAAACCCGGACCAUCAAGCAACCAAGGUACUAGACAUCCAUACAAGGAUUUUCGAGGCAACAUCAUGCAACCCAUGAAGAUGCUCGCUGCAAUUCAAACUUGCUACCAUUUUACUUUCGCACCCAAACUUCAGAUUCAAACGCACGCUUUAAUCAAACUUUCUUCACUAAACAUCGAAGCUCUAAUCUAGAUAGUAAGACCACUGGAAUUUAACAUCUAAACAUGCAAAACUGAGUCCCAGAAUAGGAUUACUAGCUUUGUAGUUUUGUCCUUUAUGAUACCCUUUCACUGCAACAUUUCUGGUUGCUGGUUUUUUCAAUUUCCGACACUGAACAAUACGGCAACCAUUUACGCGCAUGAACUCCAACAAAAGCCAACCAUUUGCCAAUUUAUCACCAUAAAAGGUCAAGCAAACAGAUCAAAACCCAUUCAAAGCCCCCGGCAAAAUUGUCCAUUCCCGAAAGAUCCAAACAUGCUACUAGCCGUGGAAAUGUAGGAAAGAAAGAAAAGAACUUGCGGCAAAUUCAUGCAAGAUACCACAAUCAAACAACAAGCAGAUUUCAUGCUUCAGAUAGACCAAAAGUUUCAGCAACCCCAAAAAAAACUCUGUUAACAUUGUUGCAAUCAGCCAAGGUUAUGCAAUUCAUGUCGAGAGAGCUAUUGACAAGAAACUAGGAGGGAAAAAGAACGAAGCUUUUGAUUCAUAAUUGCAAGAUUAUCAUCAUUACCCUCUCAUUUCCUCUGUCAAAACCCAUCAGAAACUAACAAAAAUGCAUCAGGUGAUUGAAAAUACCAGCACUUAACUAAUGUUCAUGAAGAUCUGAACGAUGAAGUUACAACCAUGACCAUAAAACAUUGACAGCCAGCAAAUAACGCAAGACUCAUGUCUUGUGGAUUUGAACUCUCAUGAAAAAUGGUGUUAAGACUAUCAAAAAGGAGGAUCUGUGGUUACCUUAGAGGGGUAAUAUGAAUGUACAACGCCCCAGGAAGUCGCUCUGAUUCAAGAAAGGAAGACGCAAGCUUCGUCGCUGAUGCUCCAAGAUUGAUGAAGGCGCCAGUUUGUGGCCAGAUUUGACGAGCUUCUGGUGGUGUUUCCCUCCAGAUGUUUGAACAGAAAUCGCUCCCAUCACUUUGUAGAUUGAGCCGAAAUUGAUGGCUUCACGAAUAAAGCUGGGUCGGGGAAGAACAUCUUUGCGAAGGCAGGCUGAAAGAUCAGCUUUGUUGCGGGUUUCGCAGAGGAAUUCCCUGCGUUUUUUCCUUUUCUGGUUCUCUUGCCGAAGCUUUCCUUUCUGGUUCAGAUCUCCUUCCUCCUCUCCAGCUUUCUCUCUAUCUCAAAACCUAGCCGUCACUCCCCAGAUUUUUCUUAGCCGACAGAUUCUCUCAGAUUUUUCCCUACUCUCCCUUCAGCCCUCCACAGCCGUUACUCUCCUCCAGUCCGUCCAACUAGAUUCUCCUCCUCCGGUUUCUAGCUUUUCCCCCAGGCCUUAAAACCCUCAGCUCUCAUUUGUUUCUUGCUCAAACCCCAGCCAUCAUCCGUCCUUCCUUCUGGUCUCUCCCUUUUUCCGUCAAAACCUCUCAGCCGUUCUUACCCCCCCAGAUCCUUUUUUUUUUCUACAGCCGCCAACCCCUUGUUUUUGUUUUCCUCUUUCCUUUUAUAUGGGGAACCAUAACCCCUAAACCCUCACCUUAAUGGUGAGGAUGAAAGGUUUGUUUCUACUCUAUCCCCCAGCCAUCCGAUCCAUUGAGCCAAGAAUCCUCUUGUGAAAAAAUGAUGUUUAUGCCGCAUGCAUGCGCGGCUCUAUUUCCUCUUUUUUUUUUUGAAAAGUAAUUUAACUAAAAUGAAAAUAAUAUUAAGUAAAAAAAACAACAAUUUAACUAAAAUGAGACAAAAAUAAAUAAACUAGAAAUAAAAGACAACAAAGUUGCGAUUUUUCCAUUUUUCUUUUCUUUUCUUCAUUUUUUCAUUUUCAUAGUUUUUUUUUUCUUUUUCAAGAAAACAUUGAAUUUAAAACAAAUAAAGCAUAUUUUUUUUUGAAUGCUUUUUCUUUUCCUUUUUUUCCCGAGAAAUUCUAUGCUAAAAAAAAACUUAAAAAUAAAAAUAAUAAAAAUAAAAACUAAAAAAACUAAAAACUAAAAAGUGAAUAAAACUAAAACUAACACGGCAAAUAAAAACUAAAAAAAUAAAUAGUAAAUGAAAUUACACUAAAAUUUUGGUGUCUACAUCACUCAUAGCAAUUGAAUAACAAAAACACUCAGAAGGCAACUGCCAACCAAACUUGCUCAAAAUGUCAUCCAAAGGGAUCCUCUCCAUUAACAAUCGCAACAUAAAGAGUGAUACUUUUAAAGGAAUUCUAGGAUGCCAGAACUGAGAAUAAGUAAACGAAGUAUUUCAUGCUUGCCUAACCUCCUGAAAAACAGAGGAUAAAUAAAAUUUUCCUGACUUUGUAGGCAUCCAAAUAACCUCAUCAGAACCUCCAGCAUACGAGAUAGGGUGCUGUAAAAUGAGAUGAACAAGUUUUGCUGGCAUCACUUGACUAACCAAUUGUGCAUUCCACUUACCAUUUACAAUGAAAUAAUUAAAUGAAAGGUUUGGAACUACCAGAAUUUUGAAAAAUAAAACUGCACUACCAAACCAAUUAUCAAACCAAAAAUGACAAGAUGUAUCCCCAUACAAUAUUUCACAAGUACGAAAGAUGUCUGAAGAAGCGCUGAGCUUCCCCAAACCGAGCUGACCUGACGAGCUCGGCGUGCUAAUGAGAAAAGCGUGUCCCAAGCCUGCAAAGCGAACAAGAGAGUGGUCAAACAGGGGAGCCCCGAGGUGGUCCCCGGGGGCACUCCGACGGUCAAGUUAGUUUUCUGGUGAGUGAGGUUCACGGGAAGUAAAACAGUCGGGAGUAAUUGGCGAAUAGUGAGCGUACCUUGUGUAGCUGGUAUGCGUUACCAUUUAUACCUGCUCGAGAGUCCAACCUCCGUAUGUUUCGGGACUUACCCAGUAUAGCCUCAAUCCCGCGCUGAGGGGGAUUUUCCCCACCCUCUGCGGGAUCGUUUCCCGAAGCCUCUCGGAGCCCUAGUGGUGACGUGUCCCAGGACAGUUGUCAGGGGCCUGGGGUCCAAGCCCAGCUCUGCCAUUCCUGGGCUGCCACGUGUCCAGGCCCAAGACGGGGCCUCUGCACUAGUCCCCUAGAUUAGGUAGGGCUUCCAGGCUGACCUAAUCUAUACCCCAGCCACGUGAGAGACCAGCGUCGCACACUACUCUGACAGGGUCACCUCCGGUACAGCAUUGUUACUAAAAAGCAGAGCUCAUGUCCUUUCAGUUGUCGCGUCUCUUCGGUCUCCGUACCUUUUUUAAAUGCGUUCACAUGGGGCGGUUCAAAUUCAAGCAGCCGUUUCCUCCCAUUUCAUUCCCUAUAAAUAGGGGCUUCCGGAUUUCCUCUGACUCUAUUUGCCAUUUUUCUUUCCUCGUGCAUUUUCAAUUUCCGGCGGCAAGACUUCCGGCUCUUAGUGCCCAGACUCCGGCGAUUCCCUUAUUUUCCCCAUUCUACUCACCAGUAAGUCCUUUUCCUUCCUCCUUCACUCUUUUUUUCCUUUGCCGUCUUCUGCUUUUUAUGUCGGAUCGGUCCGGUGUCACUUCCACUGCUUCUCGGAUUCCUGCCCACCGUAGAGCCCCUAGGAUUCUCAUUUCUUCUUCAUCUUCAUCACCCCCUCCUCCUCUUUCUUUCUCUUCUGCUUCUAAUUCUAGCUUCUGCGUUCCUGAUUUGCUUGAGCCCAUAGUCAUCAUGAGCUCUCCAUCCGCCCACUCUCCUUCUGCUCGAAUCUUGAAGGAGGUGGCCGAACUCGAUGCUCUCAUCGAGCAGCAGGCCACUUCUGUUCCCUCCCCCAAGUCUCCACACGACUCUCCUAGUGGAGCCCAAGGAGGAGCUGGGGAGGACAGGGACUCCUCCGAGGAGACCCCUGCUUCCGAGCAGGGGGAUGAUCCUGGAUUCGACUUCAGUCAUCCUGACCAACAAGAGGUCACCCUCUCACCCGAGGUAGUGGUCGAACUGGCCGGGUCUUUUUCUAUUCCUCCGGCUUUCGAACCGAGGGCUGCCGGACCCAACGACAGGGCCAGCCGACCUCCCCCUGGUUUCGUGGCCAUGUAUAGGGAGCAGCUGGUCGCGGGGUUCCACCUCCCCAUUCCUCCAGUCCUAGCAGAGAUCUUGAGCUACUGGGGACUCAGGGUCACCCAAGUCCACCCCAACUCGAUCAGAAUCAUUCUUGGAUUCCUGAUCUACUAUCAGAUCUGCUUCAUCCCCUGCUCUCUCUCCCUUUUCCGAGUUUCUAACACCCUCAAACUCUCCCUCCCAGGGUGGUACUACUUCUCCCGCCGAACUAUGGGCAAAGUUCGGGUGAGAAAGGGCACCCAGGAUCUCCUCUUCGGGGUCCCCUCCUCCAUAAAGAAUUGGAAGGGGGAUUUCUUUUUGUCAAAUCCACACAUUUUUUCCCCAAUGUGUGGAAGGUCGGGGAGGUCAACUCCGACCCGUAUCCGGAGGACUUGGACUCUGAGACCCUCAGCUAGCUGGUGAGCUCCAAGGUGAAACUCUACGCGGCCAGGUUUUCCUCCGAGCAGAUAUCUGCGGCCGGGCUGAUGGGGACGUUAUCCGGGUCCCCUGGAGAGGUGGAGCCGUCCCCUACCGAUUACGACACCUGUAAUGCCGCCUUUGUGCCCCUGUAGUCCGCUACUUUCUUUUUCUUUUACUAACCUGUUCGUACUAACCUGGUGGUGUUUCCUGUAGUGAGGAGGCUUUUCAAUCUGCUGGGCACGCCUUCCGAGCCGAUCACUCCCACUCCACAGUCAGAGGCCGCCAAGAAGGCCUCUCCGACUCCUGGGGGCAGCUCGGACCCCCAGAAGGAAGCAUCGUCCCCCUCCAAGCAGGUCGCCAGCAAGAAGAGAGCGGCCGGGCAGAAGAGGGGCCGAGGGGACGAAGCCCUCCAGCCCGAGAAGAGGCUCGCUCACACCCCAGCUCAACCCCCUCUCCUGAUGACGUCGGGGGGCGCUUCUCAUGCGGGUCCGGUCCACUUGGGAGUCGGCUAUGCAGAGGAGCACGCGCGGGAGAUGCUGCCCCCUAGUCUAUGGCACUUCCGCCACGUCGCCCCCGUGAAGCCGGGCUAGGCCCUCUCCAUGCACGACUCCCGCCACUUCUGUCCAUCUUGGGGGCUAUCCAUCAACGACCGAGCCCAGUUCCCCCAGGUGGCUCGCGAGCUAGUCACGGGCUCGGUCCUCCUGCGUGACAGGAGGUGGAUGGAGCUAGUGAGCUCGUCCGAGCUCCAAGACAUGUACUUCACUGCCCAGACUCAAGUAAGUUCCCUACCUUUUAGGCCACUCGCGCAUCUGAUUUCUGGCUAAGACGCGCAGUGUGCUAAUUUCCUUUUCCUCUCCUCUCCUCUGGCCAAUGCUGCUGGAGCUGCCCUGACAACCUGCUUCUCCGAGCUGUCUCCCGACAUGAAGAAAUUGCAGAAAAAGAAUCGGGAGACAGAGCGAAGGCUUGCCCAGGCCCUUAAGGAGACGGACUCCCUUAAGGCCAAGUUGGGCAAGGGCGAGAAGGAGCUGGAAACUGCUCAGGUCCAGCUAGCCUCUACCAGGUCAGAGCUGGACCAGGAGAGGAUGGGUGUGGCGAAGCUGAAAGAGGACCAUCCCAUCGAGCUCUCCGGCACCGUCAGCCGGGAGCGCAGGAAGGCUGUUCGAGAGUUCAUCUCCUCCGAACAGUUUGCCGAGGAUGUCGAUCUCCUCAACCAGCCCAUCCUUCAGGUCGGCUUCACGCGAGCCCUGGAUCAGGUCAAGGAGCUCGGCCUACCUGGCUUCGACUUGGCUGCGUUCAAGGACUACAAUCCUGCCGCCGAGGAGAAGAUAGACUGGCUCUUCGACGGGUAAUGCAAGGGGCAUGCCCUGAAGAAGCUGGUGGACCGGAGCGACGUGGGAGCCGAGCUGGCAGAGGUUCCCUUGGAGGAAGACGAGGCUCCCGGCCGGGCUUUCGGGAAGGAGCCGGUGGCUUAGGGGUGUCUAGGGGGGCCGAGCUGUACAUAGCUAGGUUUUCAUAUCUGAAGAGGCGCUGAGCUCUCCAUCUGGAGUAGAGAGAAAGCAUAUCUUCCCCAGCGUGAAGGGUGCGGAUAUCUAGCAUCACCAACUCUCUCAGUAUAUGAAACCUGCUGCCGUGUUUUCCUCAUGUCAGUAGUCACCUGCAAGAGGUUUGUCCGCCUAAGGGUAGCGACCACUCUACAAACCCUUUCCAUUUUCCUCUUAUAGCUCGGUAGACUUUGUAAUAGAUAGGUUGUAUAUACCUAAUUCGAAUGGAAUUAUCUAAUCUCGAUUUGCAAUUCUCGCCUGCGCCAACUCUAACAAUUAAGGCCAUAUGCCGACCUCCCGGGUCGAGCACCAAAUAGACCCAUCAAGACGGCGUGCCGACCUCUUGGGCCGAGCAUCUAUCACAUUUUAAUCUAAUAACUAAAUUGUCAAGGACAAUCAGACUGGGGAAUCAACAAACUUCAUCAAACUAAUUUUCGUCGUGCCGAUCUCUUGGGCCGAACAUCAAACUUUAAAGGCAGUCAUGCCGACCUCCUGGUCGAGCGUCAAGAUUUUAAAGAUAGUCCUGUCGACCUCCUGGACAAUCAGACUGGGGAAUCAACAAACUUCAUCAAACUAAUUUCCGUCGUGCCAACCUCCUGGGCCGAGCAUCAAACUUUAAAGGCAGCCAUGCCGACCUCCUGGAUCGAGCGUUAAGAUUUUAAUGAUAGUCCUGCCGACCUCCUGGGUCGAGCAUUAAACUUUAAAGGCAUUCCAUCCAUUACCAUUCACCCCCAGCCCCCCACUAGGACACUUAGCAUUGUUUGAAUGUGCUAGCGUAGGAUCCAAACUUAAAAGUUAAACUGUGUUGAUAAAAGGAAGGUUCAAAGACAAUCAUUUAUUUAAUGAUGAACUUGUAUGCGAAUUCUGAAGAAUAGACAGUAAGAUAUCCUAGCCCAAUCUAGCCUACGAACAACCGCAAGUUCGAGAAGUGCCAAGUACGGGGUACUUCCGCUCCAUCUAAUUUCGCAAGCCUGCAGUACCCAACUCGGCUUGCCUCCAGGACCUUGUACGGUCCCUCCCAGUUCGGGUCGAGCUUGUUGGAACUGUGGGCUCGGCUGACAGAGUUCCUUCUUAUGACGAGAUCUCCUGGCUGGUGCUGCGUGUUUCUCAUUUUUGCGUUAUGAUAGCGGGCGAGCUAGCUUUUUUACUUAGUCAUCCGUAUCGCCGCUUCCUUGCGCUUGGCCUCCAGCAUGUCCAAGUUACAUCUCGACUCUUCUUCGUUGGCUGGCGCAACGAAGUUCUGUGUCCGAGGCGAGGGGAGGCUGAUCUCCGCGGGCACCACCGUCUCUGCCCCAUAAGUCAGGGAAAACGGGGUCUCCUGAGUGGGCGUCCUCGGAGUGGUGCGGUAGGCCCAGAGGACACUAGGAAGCUCAUCUAGCCAGUUAGACUGAGCCAACUCCAACCUAGUCUUUUAAUCCUAGCAGAAUGGUUCGGUUAACGUUCUCUACUUGGCCAUUUGCCUGGAGAUGACCGACCGACGUGAAGUGUUGGCUGAUCCCGAGCUCGGUGCACCAGUUUCAGAAGGGGUUUUAGACGAACUGCCGCCCAUUGUCAGAUAUCAAGACAUGUGGAAUCCCGAAGCGGCAGACUAUGUUCUUCCAGAAGAAUUCUGAACUACCUUUCCAGAGAUAGUGGCCAGGGGCUCGGUCUCGAUCCACUUUGUAAUAUAGUCGAUGGGCACCACGAGGUGCUCGUACCUUCCGGGAACUCGGGAAAAGGGGCCCAAAAGGUCUAUUCCCUACAGGGCAAAGGGCCAAGAACUAUGGAUGGGGACCAUCGCCCGAGUGGGCUGGUGACACAGCUGGGCGUGCACCUGGCAAGCUCGGCAUUUCUGAACUAGAGCCGCGGCAUCUCGAAACACUGUGGGCCAAUAGUAGUCUAAGAGCAGACACUUUUUGGCCAAUACCCGGGAUCCCACAUAUGCCGCAUAUAAGCCUUCGUGAACUUCACGGAGGAUGUAGUCGCUCUCCUCAGGAGUUACGCACUUUAACCAGGGAGACAAAUACGACCUCCUGUAGAGGGUCCCCCCAGAAUAGGCGUACUUGGCAGUUUUGAGCUGGAGUCGGCGAGCCUCGGUCUUGUUCUCGAGGAGGACACCCGAGUUGAGGAAGUUCAAGAGGGGAGUCAUCCAGGAGGCCGGGCUGUCUAUAGCCAAGACCUGGACCUGGUCAAUGCCUCUUUGCUUAACGACCUCCACCAAGACUUCCUUGCUCAGGUGAGCAAACGAGGAGGACGCUAGCUUCGACAGGGCGUCCGCGCGCUUGUUCUGCGAUCUCGGCACCUAUUCGAUUUCAAAAGUGUCGAACAGGGCUAUCGUCUCUCGUACCUUAACCAAAUAUUUCUUCAUGACGUUCUCCUUGGCCUCAUACUCCUCGCGGACUUGGUGGACUACGAGUUGGGAAUCGCUCCAGACCUUGAUCGCGGCUAUACCCAUCUGGUGGGCUAUCCACAAUCCUGUCAGUAAGGCCUCGUACUCCGCCUCAUUACUGGAUGUCGGGAAGUCGAAUCUGAGCGCAUAGGUCAGCUCUUCCCCGGUGGGCUAGGUGAGCAGCAGGCCGCCUCCGCUCCCUUCUUUACUUGAGGCCCCGUCCACAAAUAGUACCCACGGCCCUUCCAACCGUACCUCAUUGGGCAAAGAGCUCGGCUCAGCCACGGACAAACUGGCUCCCUCAGCAAGGAAGUCUGCCAGGGCUUGAGCUUUGAUAGCGGUGUGAGGCUGAUAGCUGAUGUUGUGCUCGGCCAACUUGACGGCUCAUUUGGUCAUUCUGCCCGAGACCUCAGGUUUUGUGAGUAUCUGACGUAAGAGCUGAUCCGUCAAGACAACAAUGCUGUGGGUCUGGAAAUAAGGUCGGAGUUUCCGGGCGGCAUGCACCAAGGCGAGGACUAAUUUCUCUGCCGGUGUGUACCGCGUUUCCGGCCCUUGUAAAGCACGGCUGACGUAGUAUAUUGGCCUCUGAGCCCCUUUGUCCUCCCACACCAAAACCAUGCUAACGGCCUCGUUGCAAGCAGAUAAGUAUAGGAACAGGGUUUCUCCCUGCUCCGGGGCGAUCAAAGCAGGCAGCUCAGCCAGGUAUGCCUUUAGGUCGACGAAGGCUUUCUGGCAUUUCUCAGUCCAUUGAAAGUCCUUAGGUGCUUUCAGGAUUCGAAAGAAGGGUAGCCCCCUUACCGCGGAGCGCGAGAGGAAUCUAUUCAGGGCGGGCAUCCUUCCCGUGAGCCGUUGGACCUCCUUGACGCUCCUUGGAAGGGCCAUGUCCAUGAUGGCCUGGAGCUUAUCCGGAUUGGCCCGGAUCCCCUUCCGGGAGACCAAGAAACCCAGGAACUUUCCCGAUAUAACCCUGAAGGUACAUUUUUCGGGUUCAGCCGCAUCCGGGUUUCUCACAGGAUGUUCAGGAUUUCCCUCAGGUCGGGAACGAGCUGCUGGUCAGUUCGACUCUUGACGAUCAUAUCGUCCACGUAGACCUCCAUACUCUUGCUGAUCUGAGUUUGGAAUAGUGGACCAGGCGCUGGUAGGUAGCUCCAACGUUUUUCAAUCCAAACGGCAUUGUCCGGUAGCAAUACGUUCCUUCCUCAGUGAUGAAGGAAGUAUUUUCCCGAUCCUCCUCGGCCAUCUCUAUCUGGUGGUAUCCCUUGAAGGCAUCCAAGAAACACAAAACAUCAAAACCCACAGUAGAGUCUACUAACCUGUCGAUCCUCGGCAAGGGGAAGCAAUCCUUUGGGCAGGCCUUAUUGAGGUCUAUGAAGUCCACGCAUAUCCUCCAAGACUGGUCCUCCUUCUUCACCAGGACGGGAUUGGCUAACCAGGUCGGGUAGUAUAUCUCCACGAUGAUUUUGGAUUCUAGCAGCUUGCCGACCUCCUUCUUAAUCACCUCAUUCCUUUCUGGGGCGAAACUCCUCUUCUUCUGCUUCACCGGCUUGAAGCGGGGAUCCACGUUGAGGUGGUGGACGGCCAGGUCAGUCGGAAUCCCGGGCAUGUCUUCAACCGUCCACGCGAAAACUUGGGAAUACUUCCUCAGCAGGGCCUUCAAACCCUCCUUCUCCUCAGAGGGUAGCAGCACACCGAUGCGGAGGGCCUGGUCGGGCCGGUCCUCCCUCAAAGGGAACUCCUCGAUCUCGUCCUGGGUGCCCAACUGUCGAGCCUCCUCCCCCGGGAUGUAGGGCUCCAAACUGGUCGUUUGGAUAACCACCUUCUCAUGUCCCCGGAGCAUGGCCAAGUAGCAAACUCUAGCCACUUCUGAAUCUCCAUGCACCUCGGUUAUCCCUCUCGGGAUGGGGAACUUGACGCUGAGGUGGAGCGAAGAGGGAAUAGUUUGGAGGGCGUUCAAGGCGGGCCGACCCAAAAAUACAUUGUAUGGGGAUGGCUGCUUGACCACCACGAAAUUGACAGGGAUUGUCCGGCAUUUGGGUGACUGCCCUACCGUAACCAUCAGAGUGUUCAUUCCUUCCGGAUUGAUGGGUGAUCCGGUGAAGCCCACCAGGGGUGUCCGAACCGGGGUCAACUGUCCAUCUUCCAAGCCGAGCUCUCUGAACACCCGAUAAAACAGGAUGUCCACUGCGCUCCCUUGAUCGACAUACACCUUCUUCACCCGAUAGUUGUUGGUGACGACGUCUAUCACGAUGGUCUCGUGAUUCCCGGAUGCCAGGGAAAUCGCAUCCUUUGGACCGAAGGUGAUCUCUUCGUCCAUGCGCAAGCGCUUCAGGGAAUCAUCCCCCUCGGGGAGAGGUCGCUUGUUCUUCCGAGCUGCAUGGCUGUCCCCUCUCGUGGGAUCCCCAACGAUGGUGUUUAUCACCCCUGCUAAGUUCUGUCCUGGUCGGAGGAGUUGCCCCGAGGAACGUCACGCCGCUCAGGGCGGUUGCAACGCUGGCUCUCGCCCCUGUUUCCGAGGUAGGUGCGUCCCGGCUCCUGGCCCGGUUGACCUUGCCGCACGUAUCGUCCCAGGAAGCCGCGCUGGAUCAAAUCCUCGAUCUCCUUCCGCAGGGUCCAGCACCCCUCCGUGUCAUGCCCAACGUCUCGGUGGAAGGCACAGUACCGGUCCUGGUUCCUCUUGUUCCGGGAUGUCCCCAUCUUAGGCGGCCGUUCCCCCAGACCCUCCACCUCCAUGACGGCUAGGAUUUGGGUUCUAGGCCGAGUCAGGGGGUGUACCCUUUUUCCGGAAGCGACGGCUGAGCGGGGGCUUUCUCCUUGGAUAGUCGGUCGAAGACGUUCUUCUUGGCCGGGCCGUCCUUGUUUUCGAGAGGAUUUCCCCGUCCUCUCCGAUCGCCGAGCUCUCGAUCCGACUCCCUCUUCAAGCGUGCCGCCUCCUCUGCGUUAGCGGCUGCGUGCGCCCUGGUCAAGAGCUCCUCUAGGUCUCCAGGAGGCUUUUCAGCCAACUUGUAGAAGAGCUCCUCUGCCCUGAGCCCAUUCAUGAAGGCGGCCAUCACCACCUUUUCAUCCUUGUCCCUGAUCUGCAAGCUCUCCGUGUUGAAGCGGGCCAUGAAAUUCCUUAGGGACUCGUCCGGCUUCUGCCUGAUUGCCAUCAGGUGGGCCGCAUUCUUCGAAUAAAUCUUUGAAGAGACGAACUGGGCGACGAACUGCCUGGCCAGUUCAGAAAAACUUCGGAUGGACCCCGGUGCCAAACCUUGGAACUAGAGCCGGGCCCUCCCCUUCAGGAACAUCGGGAAAGUCUUGCAACGGGCUUUAUCCGCAGCUGUCUGUAAACGCAUGUGCAUGAGGAAGACCGAGAGGUGGUCUUUCGGGUCGGUCGAAAUAUCGUACAACUCAAUGUUCGGGAUCUUGAAUCUCCGAGGUAGCAGGUAGUCCUCUAUCCCCCGAGUAAAGGGCGAGGCCGUGUAAUUGUCCUCGUACAAUUGCGACCGCAAGAUCUGCUCGAAUUCGUCCCGGACAGGUUUCCACGGGGGAAGGUUACGCAGGCGACUCUUGACAGAUCGAUCGGGGGAGCGUUCGGGCUUGUUCCGCGCAGGCUUCCACGGGGAGGGGUUUCUCGGUCGGCCCCCAACGGACCGGUCGCGGGAGUAUCUCUCGCUAUCCCCGACUACCGAGGCCCGUGGGCGAGGAGAAGUCCGUGGCCGUUUCCUCUUGGGGGGCUGGUCUCGGGACUCAUCCUCCGAGGGGUCGGGGGGUGAUUCCUUCUCCUUCCCCUUCGCCUUGGAGAUCUGCGCGCCUCCGGCUUCGCCUCCCUCCUUCGCUUGUCGGAUCAUGUCUUCCAACAUGGGGAGGUUCUCCGACACGAACUGAAGGAUCUGCUGUCUCCGUUCCCCUGAAAGGGCUGAGCCCCCGGCGUCCCGUGCAGCCUCGGUCUCCCUUCGCCGGGAUCUCUCGCCGGCUCUGGGGUUGGUGGUCUCCAUGGUUCGCUUGGAACGCAUUCUCGCUAUCAACACAAUUACACUUUAUCUUUCGGUUCCCACAGACGGCACCAACUGAAGAAGUGCUGAGCUUCCCCGGACCGAGCUGACUAGACGAGCUCGGCGUGCUGAUGAGAAGAGCGUGUCCCAAGCCUGCAAAGCGAACAAGAGAGGGGUCUAACAGGGGAGCCCCGAGGUGGUCCUUGGGGGCACUCCGACGGUCAAGUUAGUUUUCCGGUGAGUGAGAUUCAAGGGAAGUAAAACAGUCGGGAGUAAUUGGUGAAUAGUAAGCGUACCUUGUGUAGCUGGUGUGCGUUACCAUUUAUACCUGCUCGAGAGUCCGACCUCCGUACGUUUCGGGACUUACUCAAUAUAGCCUCAAUCCCGCACUGAGGUGGAUUCUCCCCGCCCUCUGCGGGAUCGUUUCCCGGAGGCUCUCGGAGCCCUAGUGGUGGCGUGUCCCAGGACGGUUGUCAAGGGCAUGGGGUCCAAGCCCAGCUCUGCCAUUCCUGGGCUGCCACGUGUCCAGGCCCAGGAUGGAGCCUCUGCAAGGCCCAAAGAGAUGAUCCUGUACGAAAGUUCCACCAUAACUUAGAAGAAAAGAUGUGUAAACAUCCUCAAGCAAAAGGAAUCUCACUCCACCCUCCUAUACUGGAUAACAUAAAUGAGACCAGUGAAUCCAAUGAAACUUUCUUCCGCCUAUAGUAGAAACCCAUAGGAAAUUGGAACAAACCUGCUCUACAACUUUGAUAAUUGAUUUUGGCAAAACUGUUGCGGAUAACAAAUGAAUUGAGAUCGAAGCAAGCACAUGCUUAAUUAGAAUUAUCUUUCCUCCCGAAGUUAAGAACUUUGAUUUCCAAGAAAGUACUCUAUGAAGAAUAGAUUGCCCCACCUCCCCAUAAUAUGAUAUCUUACAUCUCCCUAGAUAUAGGGGAAAACCCAAAUAAUGAACUGGAAAAUUCUGCCUAGGAAAUUUAGUCACUCGUUCAAUAACCCUUCUCCGAGCAAUUGACAAUCUAGGAUGCACCAAGUAGCCACUCGUUCAAUAACCCUUCUCCAGAGCCCUUUUGAUACAUUUCCAACACCUGCAUGAUGCUCUUUAGAGAAGUAUAAGAUCCAUUAGCAAAGAUAAGCACAUCGUCAGCAAAUGCCAAAUGAGUUACCGGAGGACAACCAUACGGCACUCCAAAACCCACAAAACCGAACUUAGCAACAAGGUCAUUAGGUGCUCUCAAUAGAACCUUUGCCCCAAUAACAAACAAAGCAGGCGAUAAAGGGUCCCAUGCCAUAGACCCCUACUAGAUUUAAAUCCAUACACCACACCAUUAUAAUAACCGAAAACCACACAUUGGAGAUCAACCUCCAAAUCAUAUCUUUGAAUCGUUCCCCAAAACCAAACUUGCUAAUACAUUUACCAUAAAACCAAGACACACGAUCAUAUGCUUUGGACACAUUCAAUGCUACAUUUCCUCCUCUAUACAUUUUCCCAAUCCCAAUCAUAAUUUCUUGAGCUAGCAAAUAAUUUUCUCUAAUAUUACGGCCCUUUACGAAUCCAAUCUGUUUUUUUGAAAUAAUUUUUGGCAAGGUGAAAAAUAAUCGAUCUACUAAAAUUUUGGAUAAAACUUUAUCGUAAAAAUUGUAAGACUAAUAGGGCAAAACUAAGAAAAAUCCUGAGGGCUAGAAACCUUUGGAAUCAAAACAAUAGCAAUAGAUUUAAUAAACUGAGGCAAUUUUGCUCCACAAAAAAAAAACUCAAAAUUUCAAACACUACUUUCCGAAUUCCAUCCAUUGGAUCAGCCUCCAAAUUAAUGUUAUCCUCAUCCAUCACAAGAGGAGGGAUUACAUUCAGUAAUUUAGAAGAAGAGAGCGACAUUUCAGAAAACAAAAAAAAAAAAACUAAAUAGCUUCAUUUGCUAUAUCCUUGUCCAAAUCCACCGAAGAACCAUUCGAAUGCACUCUCCUCUGUUUAACAGUCGAGUGAAAGUACAUUGAGUUGCAAUCCCUAUGCUUCAACUACUUCACUUGAGUUUUUUGGCUCCAGAAUUGUUCCUCAAUUAAAAGUGCAUGUCGUAAUUUCGCUAGGGCCUUAUUAAGUUCGUCUAGGCUUCAUCCUUUUUUUUUUUUUUUUCCGAAGACGACAACUGUUGUAUAACCUAAUCUAUUCUACACUAAGGAGGAGGGGGCGGACCUAAGGAGGUCCAGGGAUAAUCCGGAGGGGACUGAACCACCAUCGGAUCAAACGGGUGCACCACACACCCGCUUGGAUUUUUUGAAACAAACCACUUAAAUGUGAAACCUUGCCUCCCACCCCACCUAGCUAGGUGGUGGCCACCGGCCCAAAGGCUGGUGGUUUCGUCUGGGCUUCAUCUGAAUCAUCAUUUUCCAAACUUGUUUCAGCCAUUAAAACCAAAGAUUCUGCUGCCUUAAUAGACGCAAAAUGUUUUCCAAAAGACCGGUUAUUCCAUUGUUGAAUAGCUUUUCUAGCCGCCAACAAAUUGGAGCACAAAAUACGCAAUGGUGAACCACUAACCUCCAGCUUCCAGGUAUCCCGAAUCACCUCCAACAGCGAGGACUUUGAAGUCCAGACAUUCAAAAAUCUGAAAGGCCUCGAGUUAUCAUCGAAACACGACACAAACAAAAUCUUCAAUGGCGCAUGAUUGGAUAAAUAUUAUUAGUCCUUUUCGUUGCAAGACCGUUUUGUUUCCAUUUACUCUUUUUCAAGUUUUAAUUGGCUACUCUUUGUUUGCCUUUCUCGAAUAACACGAUUUAGAAUGGCAAAUGAUUAUUGACCACGAAAAACAGCAAAUAAUCUAAGCCUAGUUAACUGGCUAUUAGCAAUUAUAUCAGUCUAAAAUCUUCUCUUAAAAUGAAAAAUUUUUGAAUUAUGGGUGAUUAAAUUUUAGCCUGAUACACAGUCAGUAGUUCAGGUAUUUCUGAAUUAUUCGACUAUUGCCGUAAAAUGAGCAAUGCUCUUAUAGAAAAAUGGUUGGAUGACUAAAAAAGGAAAUGGCAGAUUAAUGGAGGAGAAUUUCAUGACUAGCACUCAAUAUUUUUUGUAAUAUUCAUUUAAAAAAUCAGGCACACUAACCCUACAAGAGCUUGUUGGGACUAAUAGCAUCUAAAAUAGGGUCAGUCUUUCAACUUUCAGAAAAGGCCCUCUUGAUUUUUGAUCAAACAACUUGAUUCUUAUUUCAAUCUCAAAGAAGUGAACAUCCGGUAGUGCAUUAAUAAUGCAUCUGACAAAAGUGCCAGUCUGCUACUAAGGAAUUAUAGACGGAAAAAAACAACUCUUAAGAACGGUAAAAGUCGAGGUAUAUGCUUUUCAUGAGCAUAGAGUAGCCCAACCAAUUUCAAGAUUUGAAAGUGGACUUGAAUUGAUGUAUGAACGUGAAUAGUAUUACACAGAAUACAAACUUUAAACCAGCAAUAGGAGCUGAAAAUAUCUUUUAUUAAACAAAAAGCAACUACAAAAGCCAAGGCCUUAAUCUGAUGUAACUCGAAGACGAUAGUUGCAACACUGAGAAAUAAUAUCAGCUAAGUAAAAAUGUCAGCCCCUCCCAAGGAAUUAAGAGGAGGAGAAGAAACGAAAUUAGUAAUCUAUGUCUGGGGAUUUCUAUACUUAGAGAUCAUCGAUCCAAUCUUAUCAAGUAGUUUAGUUGCACUUU